rnacentral:lncRNA from 1 species
GUUCCCAGUCCCUCCGGGUGUGCUCUCCGUAGGUUCCCAGUCUUCUCCUGUGUUGCCCUCCCUAGGUUCCCAGUCUGUCUCCUGGUGUUGCUCUCCGUAGGUUCCCAGUCUCCUGGUGUUGCUCUCCGUAGGUUCCCAGUCUCCUGGUGUUGCUCUCCGUAGGUUCCCAGUCUCCUGGUGUUGCUU